rnacentral:lncRNA from 1 species
AUCCACACAGCUGUUGCCACCACGCUGUUAGCACCAGCAUAAUAAUCACUACAUCUUAGGUCCUGUUUGGUAGCGUUUGUCUUAGCUUCGGUUUCACCUAUUUGCGCAAAACGAGCUACUGUAGCAUGAAGUCGUUUUGUUUCCCUUACUGUUUUAUGUGUUUUCAGCUGUACGGUGAUUCAAAUUCUGUUUUCUCUGCUG